rnacentral:rRNA from 1 species
UACAGAGGUCCCAAGCGUUAUUCGGAGUUACUGGGCGUAAAGGGCGCGUAGGCGGCGAGAUGAGUGUGAUGUGAAAGCCCCGGGCUUAACCUGGGAAGCGCAUCGCAAACGAUCUGACUGGAGUAGAGAAGAGGGUGGCGGAAUUUCCGGUGUAGCGGUGAAAUGCGUAGAGAUCGGAAGGAACGUCAAUGGCGAAGGCAGCCACCUGGUCUCAUACUGACGCUGAGGCGCGAAAGCGUGGGGAGCGAACAGG